GUUUUCGGGUAAUUGCGGCCUAGCUCAUCUAGGCUGAGGAAAGUCCAUGCUCGCACAAGCUGCGAUGCUUGUAGUGUUCGUGCUUAAUGAAAUCAUAAGUUAAGGGACUCUUAUUAGAGUUACGGCAGAAAAAAAAGCUAAGGUCUUUUGGCUAAGCUUGAGUAUUCUUGAAAGUGCCACAGUGACGAAGUGGUUUUAGAAAUAAAACCAGUGGAACGGGUAAACCCCUCGAGCGAGCAACCCAAACAAUGGUAGGGGCACUUUUUUCUCGGAAUUGAACGAAGAAAAGAGGCAGAAAUUAAUCUGUAGACAGAUAAUUACCGUUGAUAUUUUGUCCCUGGAAAAUAUCAAUACAGAACAUGGCUUAUAGAA
rnacentral:RNase_P_RNA from 1 species